rnacentral:lncRNA from 12 species
GAAAUUCCUUUGCUGACACAAUACAGCCAUUGUCUUCCGAAAAACACAUUUUCAGAGGUGACAACGUGACUCUGUCCUGUAACUACAGUGGUGUUGUAUAUGACCUGCAAUGGUAUCGAAAUUUUGGGGGAUUUAGACCAGAAUUCCUGAUACUUGUAAAUGAAAAUUCAGAGGCAUCUGAGCAUUCUCUUCGUCUGUCAGCAAAAGACUCAAAAGAGAAGAAACAAGUGAAUCUUACAAUCUCUUCUGCUAAAGUAACAGAUUCUGCUCUGUACUACUGCGCUCUGAGGCCCACAGUGACAGAAAGACCAGAAGCACUGUACAAAAACUCUGAUUUCAGUCAUUUUGUACUAUUUAAGAGAGAUGCACAUAAAAACAUUCAUUAUUGACAGAAGUCAUCAUCAGAGGGUAAAAAUAUAAAUACUGUCAUUUUUAUCUGUGAUCCUCUAUGAAGGUCUAAAUGUGUGUGUGUUUUUUGUUUGUUUGUGUGUUUUUUUUUUCACCCAAAAGAUGGCAUUCUUCUCUUGUCUGUAUCCCUCAUGCACACAAUCAGCUCAACACUCGUCAUGGAAAGUCAAAUCUUGCCACAGGGUGGAGCUCCAGGCUUAAAUCACUUUGUUCCAGUCAGGAAAAAACACAUCUGAGUUUGUCAUUUCAUUCCAUCAUGCUGCUCUGUGCACUUGUAAUAUUUUCAGUGCUUGCAGGAGACUCUCUUGGUGAUCUAAUAACAUGUCAUGAUUCUGAAAAACAAGCUCAAGAUGGUAACAAUGUUACUCUCUCCUGCAACUACACUGGUACUGUUUAUAAUCUACUGUGGUAUCGUCAGUAUCAAACAUCCAAACCAGAACUCCUUCUGUUCAUGACUGAAUCUGGAGAUCCAGUUAAAGAAGAUCCAUCAGCCCACUGGUUAUCUGCUAAAGUUGACAAACACAGAAAGCUCAUGGAACUGGAAAUCAGCCCUGCUAAAUUAUCAGACUCUGCACAGUAUUACUGUGCCCUGAAGCCCACAGUGACAGGAAACUCUUUUCCUCUGCACAAAAUGUUUUCUGUAUAUUAG